UGGAUUUCACUUUGUAUUCUUUCUGUUUAUCCAGGGAGAAAAAUGUAUCAUUAUCAUGGUCCAGGUUCAGAUUGUUUCUGCAUCCUAUGCAUUUUCUGCACUGUGUGAAGCCUCUGAUUGGUGUUAAUUCAGUGUCGUGGAGAUGGGUUUUGGAAUUGUCAGUAGGUGCCAACAUAAGUUUUAGGUUAGGUGCUUGGGAAAAGAUGAUAGUGGGUUGGUCAUCUAAAAGCUGAUU